ACUCCUACGGGUGGCUGCAGUCGAGAAUAUUUCGCAAUGGGGGAAACCCUGACGAUGCGACGCCGCGUGGGGGAUGAAGGCCUUCGGGUCGUAAACCUCUGUGUUACGGGAUGAAUUGAGCGUUGCUGAUAACGCAGCGUUUUUGACGUUACCGUAGUAGAAAGCCCCAGCUAACUACGUGCCAGCAGCUGCGGUAAUACGUAGGGGGCAAGCGUUGUCCGGAAUCACUGGGCGUAAAGCGCGCGCAGGCGGUGGAGUAAGUCAGACGUGAAAGGGUUCGGCUCAACCGAGCCAUUGCGUUUGAUACUGCCUCACUUGAGUCUAGAAGAGGAAAGUGGAAUGUAUGGUGUAGCGGUGGAAUGCUUAGAUAUCAUAUAGAACACCCGUGGCGAAGGCGGCUUUCUGGUCUAAGACUGACGCUCAUGCGCGAAAGUUUGGGGAGCAACCGGGAUUAGAAACCCCGGUAGUCCACGCCGUAAACGAUGUACAUUAGGUGUUCGGCAACGAUGGUUGUUGAGUGUCGCAGCAAACGCGAUAAAUGUACCGCCUGGGGAGUACGGUCGCAAGGCUAAAACUCAAAGGAAUUGACGGGGGCCCGCACAAGCAGCGGAGCGUGUGGUUUAAUUCGAGGCUACGCGAAGAACCUUACCUGGGAGUGACAUGUUGGUAGUACGGAAGCGAAAGCGGAAGGACCCUUCGGGGAGCCAGCACAGGUGCUGCAUGGUUGUCGUCAGCUCGUGUCGUGAGAU
rnacentral:rRNA from 1 species